GUUGAAACACCGAUUCCCAUACACUCACCGAAGUUAAGCUACGUUGACCCUGGUCAGUACCUAGAUGGGUGACCGUUUGGGAAUAGCGGAUACUGA